GUGAGGUAAUGGCUUACCAAGGCGAUGACGGGUAGCCGGCCUGAGAGGGUGACCGGCCACACUGGGACUGAGACACGGCCCAGACUCCUACGGGAGGCAGCAGUGGGGAAUAUUGCACAAUGGGCGAAAGCCUGAUGCAGCGACGCCGCGUGAGGGAUGACGGCCUUCGGGUUGUAAACCUCUUUCAGUAGGGAACAAGGCUAAGCGUUGUUUGGUUGAGGGUACUUGCAGAAGAAGCGCCGGCUAACUACGUGCCAGCAGCCGCGGUAAUACGUAGGGCGCAAGCGUUAUCCGGAAUUAUUGGGCGUAAAGAGCUCGUAGGCGGUUUGUCGCGCCUGCCGUGAAAGUCCGGGGCUCAACUCCGGAUCUGCGGUGGGUACGGGCAGACUAGAGUGAUGUAGGGGAGACUGGAAUUCCUGGUGUAGCGGUGAAAUGCGCAGAUAUCAGGAGGAACACCGAUGGCGAAGGCAGGUCUCUGGGCAUUAACUGACGCUGAGGAGCGAAAGCAUGGGGAGCGAACAGGAUUAGAUACCCUGGUAGUCCAUGCCGUAAACGGUGGGCACUAGGUGUGGGUCUCAACCAACGAGAUCCGCGCCGUCGCUAACGCAUUAAGUA
rnacentral:rRNA from 1 species